UACGGGGGGGGCAAGCGUUGUUCGGAAUUACUGGGCGUAAAGGGCUCGUAGGCGGCCAACUAAGUCAGACGUGAAAUCCCCAGGCUCAACCUGGGAACUGCGUCUGAUACUGAUUGGCUUGAAUCCGGGAGAGGGAUGCAGAAUUCCAGGUGUAGCGGUGAAAUGCGUAGAUAUCUGGAGGAACACCGGUGGCGAAGGCGGCAUCCUGGACCAACACUGACGCUGAGGAGCGAAAGCCAGGGGAGCAAACGGG
rnacentral:rRNA from 1 species